rnacentral:tRNA from 1 species
GGAGCGGUGUCCGAGUGGUUGAAGGAGCACGAUUGGAAAUCGUGUAUAGGCAAACCCUAUCGGGGGUUCGAAUCCCCCUCGCUCCGCCA